GCUCUGUACACCCUAUCCAGCUGGGAUGCUUACCAAUGCUCACCCUUACCAUCAGAAUCAAGGACAUUCACACACAGACCUGAGCUGGACAUCGACGUCCCCCACCAAGGCCCCUUUCUGCAGGGCACGCCCCACACACCACAGCCCCAGCCGGCCAUCCUUCGCCAGCGACGGCCCCACUGUCAGCCCGCGCGGUACCGAGUGCAGGACGCUGUGCAGGGAUGCUUGGGCUUGGGCUGAAUAAUCCGGAUACUUCCGUGACUUCUGGAUCGCAGAGUCCACUAAAUAGGAAGCAGAAAAUUAAUUUAUUUGUACUCUUUUUACAUAAAUAUACGGAUAGCUUUAUUAUGUCGUGAGCACAAAACUAUAAAGUUGGAAGGCAUAAUAAACUGGAGGUAUUAAAAGAUAGAAUGCAGCACAGUGGUCAAGUUUUGCCUAACACUAACAGUCUCUGGCAUAGCAAAAACAGUGUUAAAGCGUGACCAGCCCAAACAAUCAUUACUUAAUGAAUAACGCAUACACACCAUUUUACAUAAACCGUAAAAGGCUCGAUUGGCUUGAUGCGUUAAAUGAUCUCAAACGGUUUGAUCUCAGUUUUGCCUGUGGGAGGACCGUGCACAAGUAUAGGAAACCCAGCGAGCGAUCGAGAUGCUUAGCUGGCUAGCUGUCUAACGUUAGCAAAAUGAUGAGGUGCCAUGCGAUUAUCCCAUCCCUUCAUAUUUGCUGAAAACCUAGUAAAUGCGGACUGAAAGAGGAUUCCCCAUGUAAUCCUACGCUAUAAAUUAAUUCGGAACUUUAACUUUCAAUAUCUUAUCUAAAAUAACAAAUUGCAUUUUAAGCAUCUCUUCGGCAGUGCUAAUGGUAAGCUAGCAGAAAAAUUGCACUAAUACCAAACGCGAAUUUACGAUAUACUUCUGUGCAAUCUCAAAAGUCUUCUAAAAAAACUCGAGUUUAUAAAUUGAACUAACUCAGGGAUAGGUUUUCUUCUACGACUUGGCCAAAGCAACGUCUUCUGGUUUCACCGCUGAAACUCCGGGAAAACCAUUCUCCAACCAACAAGAUUCGCAGUCGGAGAUUAGUUGAUUGCAACAUACAUCUUCCGUCGAGGAACAUUUCCUAUUGCGUAGUUUUCAGAUAGGCAGCACCGUUUCUUUAAACCUGAUAACCAAAUUGUUGAACCGUAUGGAAAUAUGAUGUGGUCGAUUACAGUUAAAUUACAUUUUUUACUAAAUAUAACUAUUUAAGAUCAAUUGGGAACUAAAAGUCUAAACAUCUGUUUCAUCGCGGUCGAUGUUUUGGUGACACCGAAGCAUUGUUGUGAAGUAUGAUAAUAUCCGCUAUAAUUGGAAGUCUUUUUCAAAAAAUCCCGCAAUAAAGCUCAUGCUAUUUUGUAUGCAUUUCUGAACGAUAGUUAUAUUCACAAUUACCCCUUCAUUUCAAAAUGUAAUUACAUUUGACUUUUUUUAAUGCUAAAAAUUCAUUUAGCGUAUAUAUUUUUAAGAUAACAUUGAAUAACAAACUGGAAAACGAAAACUGAAAUAUUUAGAAUUGUAAUUUUGAAAGACCACAAAACAAGGAUCUAAAACAAAGCAAAAUAUAUUUAAUAAGCAAAUGUUGCCUUAAUCAACGGAGAAACUGAAGGCCGUCAAACUAGAAAUUCUGAUGGGCUGAUGAAAAAAACAAUAUAACUUAACUGGCGAAUAUUUUUGUUGCACAAAAAACUGUUCAUAUUCAUUAUUGGUCAAGUCACCUCCAUCAAAUGGAAUCAUGAUUAGAUUAAAAUGUAAACCCAACAGUUACAGUUUUUUUUGUAAGAAAGGUAAACUAUAAAUGUCUUUUUCUCUUUAAACACAAGAUGGAUGUACUUCCUUAUCAUCUAGCAAGAAUUAAACUUGGCUUCUCAUGAAA